rnacentral:lncRNA from 8 species
AAAACAGGUGGAGAUAGCGAGGGAGGAACGGCGACAGUACAAGGAGCUAGCCCAACGACUGAAGCACGAGAGGCAUCCCCCAAAAAUGUUUUGGGGGGGGCACACGGGUAGUUUGGCUGGGCCAGGGGUGAGCCCUGAGCCAACUCCCUGUGCUUACCGCGGGGAGCGGGUGACGUGGAGAGCGCCGUGCUAUGCGGAAGUGCGCACGGUGUCGCCCAUACGCACGCACAGUCCGGUGCGGUCAGUACGGGCUCCGCAGCGUUGCCGGGCGAGAGUUGGCCGGCAGCCAGGGAGAAGUGCGCCGGCGCAGCACAUCUGGCCACCAGUACGUCUCCUCGGUCCAGCUUACCCUGCGCCUGCUCUACGCACGGCAGCCCUCAUUCCCCAGCACAGCCCAGUUCGCCCUGUGCCAGUGCUCCGCCCGUGCCGGGCUGCAGUGACCAUCCAGCCAGGACGGUGUGUGCCAGCCCUUAGCUCCAGAUCUCCGGUGCGCCUCCAUAGCCCAGUGCGUCCUGUUCCUGCUCCCCGCACUAGCCUUGAGGUGCGUGUUACUAUUCUGGCGCCUCCAAUGCCAGUCCCACGCAUCAGGCCUCCAGUGCGCCUGCCCAGCCCAGUACGUCCUGUUCCUGCUCCCCGCACUAGCCUUGAGGUGCGUGUUACUAGCCUGGCGCCUCCUAUGCCAGCCCCACGCAUCAGGCCUCCAGUGCGCAUUCCCAGUCCAGAGCUUCCGGCGACAGUUCCCAGUCCAGAGCUUCCGGCGACAGUUCCCAGUCCAGAGCUUCCGGCGACAGUUCCCAGUCCAGAGCUUCCGGCGACAGUUCCCAGUCCAGAGCUUCCGGCGACAGUUCCCCGUCCAGAGCUUCCGGCGACAGUUCCCCGUCCAGAGCUUCCGGCGACAGUUCCCCGUCCAGAGCUUCCGGCGACAGUUUACAGUCCGGAGCCUGCUGAGACGGCCUACAGUCCGGAGCCUGCUGAGACGGCCUACAGUCCGGAGCCUCCAGCGACGCUCCUCAGCCCUGAACCGCCAGCGACGCUCCUC